GACAGAGGGUGCAAACGUUGUUCGGAAUUACUGGGCGUAAAGCGCGUGUAGGCGGCCCUGCAAGUCGGAUGUGAAAUCCCACGGCUCAACCGUGGAAGUGCAUUCGAAACUGCAGGGCUAGAGUCCUGGAGAGGAAGGUGGAAUGCUUGGUGUAGAGGUGAAAUUCGUAGAUAUCAAGCGGAACACCGGUGGCGAAGGCGGCCUUCUGGACAGUGACUGACGCAUGAGACGGACGCGAAAGCGGUGGGGA
rnacentral:rRNA from 1 species